GACGAACGCUGGCGGCGUGCUUAACACAUGCAAGUCGAACGGUACGGCCCUUCGGGGUACACGAGUGGCGAACGGGUGAGUAACACGUGGGUGAUCUGCCCUGCACUUCGGGAUAAGCCUGGGAAACUGGGUCUAAUACCGGAUCAGACGCCGGACUGCAUGGUCAGGGGUGGAACGCUUUUGCGGUGUGGGAUGGGCCCGCGGCCUAUCAGCUUGUUGGUGGGGUGAUGGCCUACCACGGCGACGACGAGUAGCCGGCCUGAGAGGGUGACCGGCCACACUGGGACUGAGAUACGGCCCAGACUCCGACGGGAGGCAGCAGUGGGGAAUAUUGCACAAUGGGCGCAAGCCUGAUGCAGCGACGCCGCGUGAGGGAUGACGGCCUUCGGGUUGUAAACCUCUUUCAGCAUCGACGAAGCGAAAGUGACGGUAGGUGCAGAAGAAGGACCGGCCAACUACGUGCCAGCCGCCGCCGUAA
rnacentral:rRNA from 1 species